ensembl:lncRNA
GGCGGGAGCGGGGGAGCGGGAGGUGAAGGUGAAGAGCAGCAGCGGGCUCGGGGCUGGCUGCGGCUGCUCGCUGGGCUGUGCGGCUGUGCCCAGAGGGCGGAGUUCCCGCACGCUGCUGCCUCACCGGAGAACCUGCCCUCGGCGCAGCGCUCCGCAGCCGGGACCCCACCGCCGCCGCCCUCCCCGCACCGCUCUGUGUGGCCUCGCUUCCCCCCGGGCUCGGGGAGCCGGGAGGUGGCGGAGCGGCGCUGCCCCCAGUCCUCGUCCUCGGGCGGGGUUCCCGAGCACCUCUCACACCGCAAAGCGCGUGUCUAACGCCAGGAUUUUUCUUUUUUCUUUUUGGUCUCUUUUCGAAGCGUUUCCUCCCCCCGUCUCCCCUCCCCCUCGCUCCCAUCGGAGCCACCACCCGCCCGGAGCGGGUCUGCGUCCGCUCUCGGAACCGCCGGAGAAGCUGCAGGAAGAGCGGGGAAGGGCGCACCGUCGGCUGCGAUCACUGGAGGCAAACAUCGAAUUAAUUGGAUCUUGGUGGCUGAGGCUGGUAACAGUGUAUUGAACGGAGUUAUCUGCCACAAUGCCCAGGUGUCUGCCAGAAUGUCAGGACAUUCUAGACCAGAUCUCUCCUCCUGUCUGCCGGGAGGGCUGAACUGUAAAUCUGUCUCGAGUGAUGCACCCUACACCGUGGGUAGGUGCGUCACUUCGGAGCCGGAGAGAGAUGGGAGCUCAUCCGAGGAGCUUUCAGACACCUCCGUGGGAUGGGUCGUUAGGGAGUGUCGGAAUCCACACGAAAUUGCAGAUCUAACAUGUGAGGAACAUAAAGCCCCGCUCUCUGACAGUGGGAGCGCAAACACGCAGACACGCGGGACUGAGCCUGGUGCUUGCUGAGCACUGUGACUCACGGCUUUGGGCCUCGGUGCUGGUUUGCAAAAUGCCUCACACACGUCCUGCUGCAGUCGAUAGCCGGAAAGCUACCGACCGUGUGAGUCAUGAGCCGUCAGCAAAAGACUUCGCCCGCUCUUCCAGCGCCUAAUAAAAGAAUUAAACAGAUGCCCUUAUCUUCUUCUGAAGAAAAACGAAAGAAAGAAAGAAAAUGUGGCAAUGCACUGUGACUUUCUCAGGAGCGCUGAAAUCCUGCCACUGGGAUCUGGUUCUUCCCCUCUCCACCGCCGUGCGGCAUUCCCUAUAGCGUACGCCUACCGCCAGGCGCCCUUAAGCAUCUCAACAGAAUUGCUCUUUGGCAUCGAAACUGCUGGCUGCGGCUGAUGCCACGAGUCCGCGCAGAAAAGUGGCCAGGGCUUUUCUCACGGCUGGAGAAGCGUGUCCAUAAAUCGAUAGAUUCUCUCGGUGUGGAACCCGGGGGAGGGGGUCCCGAACAGGCGACCCCUUUUCUCUGUUCUUGUGUUGCCCGAGUCUCUGAGCGGCUUUCCCGAGCGCUGGGACGGCCGAGACACGGGGCCGGGGGGUCGGGGCCGUGCCUGGACUGCGCUCUGCUUAUGGUCGGAGAUUUGUGGGAGUAGAGAGAACCCUGACAGCCAGAGUGGGACCUGGCCGGGAGCGGGCUCCGUGAUGGAGGAUGGCUGCAUGCUCGUGAUGCGAAGGGCGGAACAGGACAGCGCGCUGGCACCGAGAGCUUUUUUUUUUUUUUUUUUUUUUUUUUUUUUUUUUGUUCAUUAGAACCAAAAGGAAAAAUGGAG